rnacentral:tRNA from 1 species
GCGCCCGUAGCUCAGUGGAUAGAGCGUUGGCCUGCGGAGCCAAAGGUCGUGGGUUCAAGUCCCUCCGGGCGCG